CCUACGGGGGGCAGCAGUGGGGAAUAUUGCGCAAUGGGCGAAAGCCUGACGCAGCGACGCCGCGUGAGGGAUGAAGGUCUUCGGAUCGUAAACCUCUGUCAGCAGGGAAGAACGGUCACUGUGCUAAUCAGCAGUGCAUUGACGGUACCUGCAAAGGAAGCACCGGCUAACUCCGUGCCAGCAGCUGCGGUAAUACGGAGGGUGCGGGCGUUACUCGGAGUUACUGGGCGUAAAGCGCUCGUAGGCGGUAUGUCAAGUCAAGGGUGAAAUCCCCGGGCUCAACGUGGGAACUGCCUUUGAAACUGGCAAACUGGAGUGUGUGAGAGGAUAGUGGAAUUCCAGGUGUAGGAGUGAAAUCCGUAGAUAUCUGGAGGAACAUCAGUGGCGAAGGCGACUAUCUGGCACAUAACUGACGCUGAGGAGCGAAAGCGUGGGUAGCAAACAGGAUUAGAUACCCGAGUAGUC
rnacentral:rRNA from 1 species